UGAUUGACACUUAAUCACUCAACUGUGGAGUU
rnacentral:piRNA from 1 species